rnacentral:rRNA from 1 species
GGGGUGCUCGAGUGGCGAACGGGUGAGUAACACGUGAGUAACCUGCCCUUGACUUUGGGAUAACUUCAGGAAACUGGGGCUAAUACCGGAUAGGAGCUCCUGCUGCAUGGUGGGGGUUGGAAAGUUUCGGCGGUUGGGGAUGGACUCGCGGCUUAUCAGCUUGUUAGUGGGGUAGUGGCUUACCAAGGCUUUGACGGGUAGCCGGCCUGAGAGGGUGACCGGCCACAUUGGGACUGAGAUACGGCCCAG